rnacentral:rRNA from 1 species
UACAGAGGUGGCAAGCGUUGUUCGGAAUUACUGGGCGUAAAGGGCGCGUAGGCGGUUCGUUAAGUCCUGUGUGAAAUCCCCCGGCUCAACUGGGGAACUGCACAGGAAACUAGCGGGCUUGAGUUCGGGAGAGGGAAGCGGAAUUCCAGGUGUAGCGGUGAAAUGCGUAGAUAUCUGGAGGAACACCGGUGGCGAAGGCGGCAUCCUGGACCGACACUGACGCUGAGGAGCGAAAGCCAGGGGAGCAAACGGG